GUCAGUCUGUGUGGAGGACGGAAGAACAAGCAAUCUCCUUUUCCCAGGCUCUUCCCAGGAAAAGCCUGGCACAAUGCAGGCAGUGUUGUGGAUAGCUUGGCUGUAUUCUAAGCAAGCUGGAGCUACCAUUUUAAAACUCUUCUUCUGAUUUACGAAGACUAGGAAAUAACUGGUCCCCCCAGGUGUUCACAGAGGCACAGCUCUGUCCUGGCUGCACAUAGUCUCAAACUGAAGGUCUAGAUAUAAAGCAAAUGCAUUCAUAAGAAGACCCUGGGUGGGAUUAGCUGGCAAAAUCAGUCUAACCCAAGAGCCUUGACCACAAACCCUGAGAAGGAAAAGAGGUUUUGCCAUAGCUAUUUCCUUGCUACCUGUAUCCAAGGACAAGAUACUGUGGUGAAACCUUUACUAUCCUUACUCAGACAGUGGUUAAGGGUAGAAGUCCAGACCUAGCAGAGAAAAUAGGUAUCUCCCACACAUUUAUCUCCUGAUGAAGAGCACAGCCAUCCGCUAGUCCUUGUGGCUCUCUAGAUUGUGAGUGGAGACAGAGAAGCACCUCCAAACAGGCAGCUCCAUGACAUCCUCCUCAGAAAUGACAGCCACAGAAAACAGAGAGGAAAAGACAGAGGACUGAGUCUUAGUUCCUGUUUGUCACCAGGAGGGAAGAGCCUAACUUUGUGUCACAGAGAACAACCUUGUUCCAUUCAGGAUGGGUAG
rnacentral:lncRNA from 1 species